AUUGAACGCUGGCGGCAGGCCUAACACAUGCAAGUCGAACGGUAACAGGAAACAGCUUGCUGUUUCGCUGACGAGUGGCGGACGGGUGAGUAAUGUCUGGGAAACUGCCUGAUGGAGGGGGAUAACUACUGGAAACGGUAGCUAAUACCGCAUAACGUCGCAAGACCAAAGAGGGGGAGCCCCGGGCCCCUUGCCAUCGGAUGUGCCCAGAUGGGAUUAGCUUGUUGGUGGGGUAACGGCUCACCAAGGCGACGAUCCCUAGCUGGUCUGAGAGGAUGACCAGCCACACUGGAACUGAGACACGGUCCAGACUCCUACGGGAGGCAGCAGUGGGGAAUAUUGCACAAUGGGCGCAAGCCUGAUGCAGCCAUGCCGCGUGUAUGAAGAAGGCCUUCGGGUUGUAAAGUACUUUCGGCGGGGAGGAAGAGAGUAAGGUUAAUACCUUUGCUCAUUGACGUUACCCGCAGAAGAAGCACCGGCUAACUCCGUG
rnacentral:rRNA from 1 species